UUGCACAGAGUCGGACACGACUGAAGCGACUUAGCAGUAGCAGCAGCAGCAGCAGCAUUCUGUACUCCGAGGCCAAACUUGCCUGCUACUCUGGGUAUUUCUUGACUUCCUACUUUGACUUCCUUCUGUGCUAUCUUUUUUAGUUAGCAUAGAAAUCAAGUUAAAUCAUAUAUAAGCAAGAAUGACUUCCCUAGCCUUCAAUAUGUGAACAUUUCUUCCUUUAACAUCUACCAAAAUAAAAAGUGCAGUCAUUCUUGAUGUAACAAGUAGCCAAGUAGGCAAUGCUUAAUUUUUGUGUAAGUAUACUUAUGGUAAGCAGGGCUUCCCAGGUGGCUCAGUGGGUAAAGAAUCUGUGUGCAAUGCAGGAGAUGCUGGUUUGAUCCCUGCGUCGGGAAGAUCCCCUGGAGGAGGGUAUGGCAGUCCACUCCAGUAUUCUUGCCUGGAGAAUCCCAUGGACAGAGGAGCCUGGUGGGCCACAGUCCAUAGGGUCGCAAAGAGUCUCACACGACUGGAGCGACUGAGCGUGCAUGGUAAGCAGACUAAAGCACCAUUCCUGCCAAAGAUGUGGAGGACUUAAGUGUCCAGAACAUGUUGUUACAGGGUAAGAGGGAACUACAUUUAGAUGGUAGAUGGAAAUAAGGUUGAUAAUCAGCUGACUUUGGGACAUGGAGAUCAUUCUGGAUUGUCUGAGGUUGGCAGGGUGGGAGGAAACCUCGUAAUAACCCUUGUUAUUACGGGUCCUUGUUAUAAGGGUCCUUAUAGUGGAAGAGGGAGGUAUAGAGAUGGAGAGAGACCAAAUCAGAGUAAUGUCAUGUGAGAAAAACUCAAGUUGCCGUUGCUGGCUUCGAAGACAGAAAAAGCCAGGAACCAAGGAAUGCUGGCAGUCUGGAACAAGCAAGGAAACCCCUUUUACCCCCAGAAGCAAUGCAGCCUUGCUGAGGCCUUGGUUUUAGAGCAGCUGACAUGAGUGUCAGACCUAGGACAUUCUUAGAUUUAAAAUAUCUGUGUUGUGCUUUUCUGCUUUCAAGGGCUCAUGUGAUUAUACUAGACUAACCUGGGCAAUUGUGGAUAAUAUUCCCAUCUAUGGGCCACGUCAGGUAACGUGUUAAUAGGUUCCAGGCAUUAGGGUGUGGACGUUCUUGGAGAACCGUGGUUCUGCCUACCACACUGAACUCACAUGGCUAUUGUGUGUGCUCAGUCACUCAGUCGUGUCUGACUCUUUGCGACCCCGUGGACUGCAGCCCUCCAGUCUCUUCUGUCCAUGGGAGUCUCCAGCUGUGCCUCUGCGCCCUGAGGCUGGACAGCCAUGAAGGUCAUGACUGCUGAAGUCACCAGGAACCCAGCUUGGGCAACAGGAGCCUCCCUGGCUUUUGCUGGUGGGGUGACAGCUCUCAGGAAUAUGGCUCAGAAGACUGCAGGAUUCAGGACAACUUCAGCUCUCAGUGACCUUGUGCAUGGUGUUAAUAGAUAUGAGUUUCGCCCCUGUAGGUCUCACAGCCUGUGCCCUUGCGUACUGGGCUCUGGCGUCCCCUGUUGCCUGUUCCCUGUGCCCCACCAUUCCCCAUCUACGUAGAGGGGACCUGCCCCUGUCUGCCUGGAGUGGUGAUUACAGGGAUCUGGUUUUUCUGGCCUGGCACAGAAAGAUGGCUUAUCUCCAGCUGGUGGCCACGCUAAGCUGCGCCUGGUUUGAGGGACCUGCUUCCUUAUUCUCAGACCGCUGUGCCCCUCAAGUCCUGUGAUUCCACCUCAGGUAAGCUCUAGGCACACAGGUGACUCUGAGAUCCUGGGCACAGUACUUUCCCUGGAGGGCUUGAAGUCACAAGACCCUUUGGACCACAAGAGGACAGGGCGCCCCCCCCUGCCUUCCCACUCUGUCCCCAGAGGCACAUGGACAUUGCUGUCAUCGAGCAUCUGGCCCCUCAGCACCCUGGCCACAACCCAUUUCUCUUCUGCCUCCUGGGCCACAGCCCUGGCUCCAAGGUGAUGUGACCCUUCCGGCUUUAUUGUCACAGAGUCUGGAGCAGUCGGAAGGGAGUUGCCCCCAGGACAUUCCAGUUGCCCCCAGCAGAGUGAGCCUGUCCAGGAAGCAGGGAAGCUCCCCCGGCACUGCCAGCAGACCCUCCAUGGGGCCCUCGAGGGCCAGAGAGGGUCAGUUCCCAGCCCCUGUGCAGUUAGGGCCUAACAAGUUCCGACUCUUUGCCACCCCAUGUCCAUGGAAUUUUUCAGGCAGAACACUAGAGUGGGUUGCCAUUGCCUUCUCCAGGGAUCUUCCUAACCCAGGGAUCGAAACAGUGCCUUCUGCACUGGCAGGCAGAUUCUUUACCACUGAGCCACCUGGGAAGCCCCAUAUCGUUCGUGUUCCAUAGCUAUGUCUUUCUUUUAAAGGUUCUGUUUAAAAGAACCUC